rnacentral:tRNA from 1 species
GGAGAGAUGCUCGAGUGGUUGAAGAGGCACGCCUGGAAAGCGUGUGUACGCCAAAAGCGUAUCGAGGGUUCGAAUCCCUCUCUCUCCG